rnacentral:lncRNA from 1 species
GGGCGUGAGGUCUAGGGUGGGUUCUAGGGUUUCUGAUUGCUCUAGUUUUAUGUGAGAAAAUCAUAAGAGAGUCUUGUUUUCUUUCUUCCACACCACCUCCUCCUCAAUAAGCUCUAUCUUCUGAUCUAAAGGUGUCUAGAUGAUCCAAAGAAAGGAGUCUUCAUCAACCAUUUAGAGCCUUUUACAUGAGCUAGCACUCCUAGGAAG